rnacentral:rRNA from 1 species
CAGCCGCCACGGUAAUACAGAGGGUGCAAGCGUUAAUCGGAAUUACUGGGCGUAAAGCGCGCGUAGGUGGUUUGUUAAGUUGGAUGUGAAAGCCCCGGGCUCAACCUGGGAACUGCAUCCAAAACUGGCAAGCUAGAGUACGGUAGAGGGUGGUGGAAUUUCCUGUGUAGCGGUGAAAUGCGUAGAUAUAGGAAGGAACACCAGUGGCGAAGGCGACCACCUGGACUGAUACUGACACUGAGGUGCGAAAGCGUGGGGAGCAAACAGGAUUAGAUACCCCGGUAGUCCCUGUCUCUAUACA